CAAGCUGUGGAUAGAGUUUACCG
rnacentral:piRNA from 1 species